AUACGCUUUAUACUGUCAGUGCAUAUGCAUUUUUCUCUUGUGUUUAUCUGUUGGGACAGUCUUUAUCUUGCUUCUUACAUUGUUUGUUUGUGGAUACUGCUUUGCAGGAGAUGAAAUGACUCGGGUUAUCUGGAAGUCAAUCAAGGACAAGCUAAUUUUGCCCUUCUUGGAGUUGGACAUCAAGUAUUUUGACCUAGGCCUUCCUUACCGUGAUGAGACCGAUGAUAAAGUUACAGUUGAAAGUGCUGAGGCAACUCUC